rnacentral:rRNA from 1 species
GAAAAGCCCGCUCGCCGGAAGACCAAGGGUUCCUGUCCAACGUUAAUCGGGGCAGGGUGAGUCGACCCCUAAGGCGAGGCCGAAAGGCGUAGUCGAUGGGAAACAGGUUAAUAUUCCUGUACUUGGUGUUACUGCGAAGGGGGGACGGAGAAGGCUAUGUUGGCCGGGCGACGGUUGUCCCGGUUUAAGCGUGUAGGCUGGUUUUCCAGGCAAAUCCGGAAAAUCAAGGCUGAGGCGUGAUGACGAGGCACUACGGUGCUGAAGCAACAAAUGCCCUGCUUCCAGGAAAAGCCUCUAAGCAUCAGGUAACAUCAAAUCGUACCCCAAACCGACACAGGUGGUCAGGUAGAGAAUACCAAGGCGCUUGAGAGAACUCGGGUGAAGGAACUAGGCAAAAUGGUGCCGUAACUUCGGGAGAAGGCACGCUGAUAUGUAGGUGAAGUCCCUCGCGGAUGGAGCUGAAAUCAGUCGAAGAUACCAGCUGGCUGCAACUGUUUAUUAAAAACACAGCACUGUGCAAACACGAAAGUGGACGUAUACGGUGUGACGCCUGCCCGGUGC